rnacentral:tRNA from 1 species
AUAGGAUAAAGCUGAUAUCAGUAAUUUAUUUACACUAAAAAGGGUCUAUUUAUAGAUAUUCUAUA